UACGGGGGGGGCAAGCGUUGUUCGGAAUUACUGGGCGUAAAGGGCUCGUAGGCGGCCAACUAAGUCGGACGUGAAAUCCCUCGGCUUAACCGGGGAACUGCGUCCGAUACUGGAUGGCUUGAGUUCGGGAGAGGGAUGCGGAAUUCCUGGUGUAGCGGUGAAAUGCGCAGAUAUCAGGAGGAACACCAAUUGCGAAGGCAGCUCGCUGGGACGUUACUGACGCUGAGACGCGAAAGCGUGGGGAGCAAACAGG
rnacentral:rRNA from 1 species